UACGUAGGGCGCAAGCGUUGUCCGGAAUUAUUGGGCGUAAAGAGCUCGUAGGCGGUUUGUCGCGUCUGCUGUGAAAACCUAAGGCUCAACCUUGGGCUUGCAGUGGGUACGGGCAGACUAGAGUGCGGUAGGGGUGACUGGAAUUCCUGGUGAUAGCGGUGGAAUGCGCAGAUAGUCAGGAAGAACACCCGUGGCGAAGGCGGCUCUCUGGAACGCAA
rnacentral:rRNA from 1 species